UAACGCGUGGGUAACCUGCCUCACACAGGGGGAUAACAGUUAGAAAUGACUGCUAAUACCGCAUAAGCGCACAGCACCGCAUGGUGCAGUGUGAAAAACUCCGGUGGUGUGAGAUGGAUCCGCGUCUGAUUAGCUAGUUGGCGGGGUAACGGCCCACCAAGGCGACGAUCAGUAGCCGGCCUGAGAGGGCGACCGGCCACAUUGGGACUGGGACACGGCCCAG
rnacentral:rRNA from 1 species